UAUCAAUGUGAAGGAACAUUGUGUGUAA
rnacentral:sRNA from 1 species